CACCAGCGCCUCGAGUGGGGAUCGCGAUUAUUGGGUCUAAAGCGUCCGUAGCAGGCUUUGUAAAUGCUUUGUGAAAUCGGCAGGCUUAACCUGUCGUCGUGCAGAGUAGACUGCAGAGCUCGAGAUCGGGAGAGGUUAGCAGUAUUCCUAGGGUACCGGUAAAAUGGGUUAAUCCUAGGAGGACUACCAAUGGCGGAGGCAGCUAACCAGAACGAUUCUGACUGUGAGGGACGAAAGCUAGGGGAGCAAAACGG
rnacentral:rRNA from 1 species